AUCCUGGCUCAGAACGAACGCUGGCGGCAGGCCUAACACAUGCAAGUCGAGCGCCCUUUCGGGGGAGCGGCGGACGGGUGAGUAACGCGUGGGAAUAUGCCCUUCUCUACGGAAUAGCCUCGGGAAACUGAGAGUAAUACCGUAUACGCCCUUGGGGGAAAGAUUUAUCGGGGAAGGAUUAGCCCGCGUUGGAUUAGGUAGUUGGUGGGGUAAUGGCCUACCAAGCCGACGAUCCAUAGCUGGUUUGAGAGGAUGAUCAGCCACACUGGGACUGAGACACGGCCCAGACUCCUACGGGAGGCAGCAGUGGGGAAUCUUAGACAAUGGGGGCAACCCUGAUCUAGCCAUGCCGCGUGAGUGAUGAAGGCCUUAGGGUUGUAAAGCUCUUUCAGCUGGGAAGAUAAUGACGGUACCAGCAGAAGAAGCCCCGGCUAACUCCGUGCCAGCAGCCGCGGUAAU
rnacentral:rRNA from 1 species